rnacentral:rRNA from 1 species
UACGGAGGAGGCAAGCGUUAUCCGGAAUUAUUGGGCGUAAAGCGUCCGUAGGUGGUUUAGUAAGUCUGCUGUUAAAGCGCGGGGCUUAACUCCGUAUCGGCAGUGGAAACUACUAGACUAGAGUGUGGUAGGGGUAGAGGGAAUUCCCAGUGUAGCGGUGAAAUGCGUAGAUAUUGGGAAGAACACCGGUGGCGAAGGCGCUCUACUGGGCCAUAACUGACACUGAGGGACGAAAGCUAGGGGAGCGAAUGGG